CUUUGWGAACCAUAAACCAUUUUCGCUUCGGCAGCGGGUUCGGCCCAGGUCGCACCGGUCAGCCUGCCGGCAGCAUCAAAUUUAAACUUGUUUUUAUAACAGAGUCUGAACCAUUCUAUUGAAUGAAAAUUAAAACUUUCAACAACGGAUCUCUUGGUUCUCGCAUCGAUGAAGAACGCAGCGAAACGCGAUAGUUAAUGUGAAUUGCAGAAUUCAGUGAAUCAUCGAGUCUUUGAACGCACAUUGCGCCCAUUGGUAUUCCGAUGGGCACGUCUGUUUGAGCGUCAUUGCAACACCUCAGCCCGCUCCGGCGGUUUGGUCCUGGGCUCGGAUUUUCUCAACGGAAUCCGGCUUCAAAGUUGCACGCUCUGCGGACCUGACCACUCAGAAAACAUAGUAUAACAGCUACCUGUUCAACGAGUCCUUGGUCGGGGCUUCCGCCUGAACAAACUUAUCAAAUCUAAAGGUUUGACCUCAGAUCAGACGAGGAUACCCGCUGAACUUAAGCAUAUCAAUAAGCGGAGGAAAAGAAACCAACAGGGAUUGCCUCAGUAACGGCGAGUGAAGCGGCAAGAGCUCAAAUUUGAAAUCUGAUGUCUUCGACGUCCGAGUUGUAAUUUGAAGAGGAUGCCUCGGUUGUGGCCUCAGCCUAAGUUCCUUGGAACAGGACGUCGCAGAGGGUGAGAAUCCCGUACGCGGUUGGCGGCUUACUUCCAUGUGUGGCUCCCUCGAAGAGUCGAGUUGUUUGGGAAUGCAGCUCAAAAUGGGUGGUAAAUUUCAUCUAAAGCUAAAUACUGGCGAGAGACCGAUAGCGCACAAGUAGAGUGAUCGAAAGAUGAAAAGCACUUUGAAAAGAGAGUUAAACAGUACGUGAAAUUGUUGAAAGGGAAGCGCUUGCGAUCAGACUUGCUAGCGGUUGAUCAACGUUCCUUCUGGUUCGUGCACUCUUCCGUCUGCAGGCCAGCAUCGAUCAGAGCGGCGGGACA
rnacentral:rRNA from 1 species